CCAACACAAAGAACAGGAUGUAGAAAUAAUAGUUUCUCACAUAUUCUCCCAUUGCUGACUGGAUAUUUGAUCGUUUAACUCUUUCUUCCAUCUCUGCUUGAUGCAUGUUGUGGUAGUUCCUCUGCAUUUUGUGAUGUUCUCAUACAGUUUUGAUGCUACAGAUUUAGGCCCAGUGUAUGUCUGUACCACCAACUGUAUCAUGCCACUCAGUUCUGUCGCUGCUUCAUUUUUCCUCAUUUCUUUUAAAUAGUACUGGUGUAGCUGUAAGUAUCUAUAAAAGUCAUGAUUUUGGAAAUUGUAUUUUCCCUUCAGUAAGUUAUGUAAAAUGUUUUUCUCCAUCAUAGUACAAGAAGCAGUAAUGCCCUGAUUUGUCCAGGAUCUAAGACUAGAAUCUGUACCAUUUGGUUAAAAUAGAAUAGAAUAGAAUAGAAUAGAAUAGAAUAGAAUAGAAUAGCCUUGUGUUGCCCUUGAGGCAAUUGUUUUCUGUUCUUAACAAUUUCAUGUGUCUAAAACGGUUAAAUAUUUUAAAAAGUGUAAAAUAAUCAGUUAGAAAUGCUUUAUGUGUGCAUUUCAUCAUUAUUUAUAUAUGUAGCUUAAAAAUACGGAGGAAUAAUUCCAUUUCCUGUUUUGCCGCGCCACUUCCGGUUUGCCGCGCUACUUCCGGUUUCCGUUAUGAUCGCAAACGAGACGCAUGCGGAGCCCAACAUGGUGUGUGUGGUGAUCUGUUGCCAUCCACUUUGAAGCUUUUACAAGGCAAUGCCCUUCAUCAAUGAGAUCUGUUCAUUUAUUCUACCAGAGGAGAAGCUGCUGGACCACAGAGGACAAAUACAUUUGCUUCCAGGACAGAAAGGUGAAAAGCAUCUAAAGGUUGAGCAGCAGAUAAAGCCACUGUCUUUACUUCAGUCAUCUCACAGCUCCAAAUGCUGGAAAGGAUGAAGGAGAGAGUUUGUGCCACUGGUGAGCUUCCAGUUAAAGUGUUGCAGUGAUGUGACACACAACAGGUGCUGACAGGUGAGGAGAGUUCUUCUACUCACUGACUUCUAUCAGCUCAGCACAGAGAACUUUAAGGACACUUUAGCUUUGACUCUGGACUGAGUCUAGACUUUAUGACUCCCUACUACAUUUAAAAAGAAAAACUCUGUGGAUGAUUCACAGCAGUCAUUAAAACUGAUGAGAAAAAAGAAACAUUCACCCAAAGAUGAGAACUUUGAAUCACUGAAAACAUGUCUGACCUCAGAGUCUUCAGGAUGCAGUCUGGACUCUCCACAAAACCACUCAGAUGUUUCACUCCUGAAUCCUUCAGGUCGUUGUCACUCAGGUCCAGAUGUUCCAGAUGUGAGGGGUUGGACUUCAGAGCUGAGACCAAAGAAUCACAGCUGAUCUCUGACAACAUGCAGAGCUUCAAUCUGAAUAAAGAAUCAAAGAUGUGUAUAAAAUCA